UGUAUCUGAAGUCUGAUGAGGAUGAGAACCUCCGGGGGCAAGAGGUUCGACUCGAGCGAAGCGAGAGAACGUUGCGUCAGCAACGGCCCGCAGGGCGAGCCACGC
rnacentral:sRNA from 1 species